rnacentral:rRNA from 1 species
UACAGAGGUCCCAAGCGUUGUUCGGAUUCACUGGGCGUAAAGGGUGCGUAGGUGGUGAGGUAAGUCGGAUGUGAAAGCUCGGAGCUCAACUCCGAAAUGGCAUUGGAAACUACCUUGCUCGAGGGUUGGAGGGGGGACUGGAAUUCUCGGUGUAGCAGUGAAAUGCGCAGAUAUCAGGAGGAACACCGGUGGCGAAGGCGGGUCUCUGGGCCGAUACUGACGCUGAGGAGCGAAAGCGUGGGGAGCGAACAGG